rnacentral:rRNA from 1 species
UACGGAGGUGGCAAGCGUUGCUCGGAAUCACUGGGCGUAAAGGGCGCGUAGGCGGGGAGGUAAGUCGGGUGUGAAAUCCCUCGGCCCAACCGAGGAACUGCGCCCGAGACUGCUUCUCUUGAGUCCCGGAGAGGAAGAUGGAAUUCCCGGUGUAGCGGUGAAAUGUGUAGAGAUCGGGAGGAACACCGGUGGCGAAGGCGGUCUGCUGGGCAGUGGCUCGCAAGGGCCAAUAGCCGACACUGAGGCGCGACAGCGUGGGGAGCAAACAGG